AAAGAUACCCAGAUGGAAGGGUUCAUGAGACAUUACGGUUAAGACCUGAAUAAAGCCAAACUUUUUAGAGCGAAUUCAAAAAACUGAGCUAUUCUUUAAGUACUGAUUUCUCUCUCUCUCUCUCUCUCUCUCUCUCUCUCUCUGUUUUUUGGGUUUUUUGUUUCGUUUUGUUUUUUUGGUUUAAUGACUCCUCAACCAGGCGGCUGGUCAGGGCUUUGGAAGCUCAAUCUGCAAUCCAGGGAAGGAAGUGACAGAGCGUGAUAGAACAGGGCAGCUGCCAGUCUCAAGCGAACAUGUGCAGAAUGUUAUAAAAGGAGCAGAGGAGCCGGGAGCCCCACAUCGUGCAGGAAUGGGCCACUCCACCCUCCACAAACCACAAGGCGAUGAAAAUCCCAGGCGUGGAGAGACGAAGAACGCUGCGGAAGGCCACAGAGGAAGUAGUGAGAGGUGCCAGGAUCUGAAGUCGCAACCGCAUAGCACCCAGGCGAGGAGAUGAAUCCACACCUACUGAAUGAGUAUAUAACUGCAAUGCUCACUUCGCCUCCCUCCCAAAGCGUGAGGGUCCCCGGGGGAUGUCUGUCUAAGAAGAUGGCCAAGUACAAGUCAAAGUCGUUACGAAGGAGCACGGAUCCUGCUUAGAGACGCUCAGCCCAGCAGGGAAGACAGAGGAGUAUGCAGAUCACUAUACCCCAGGGUAGGAAAUGAUUUUCCAUGCGAGCGGUACCACUGCGGGACAGAGGGACUUUAAAAGAAUACAUUUGCUUUGCCUUUAGCAUGAGAAGCUCUGGGAGAAUAGCUAUGACGUACACACAUGAUCUCUUUGUAUUUGCUUUGGAUUACGUUGCAUUCAGGUAAUUGUGCACCCUGAAUGAGUCGCCGUUUACCUGCAAGAUAGCAGGGGACCCACAGGACUGUCUUGUGAAGGCCCCUCGUGCUCCUGGCAGCCCGGGAAUGGUGGGCCUGGUAAAGGCAGAGGCGGAACCUCUAAGCCAUACGGUGCCAGACUGAGGAGGGGCCUCCCAGACCCCAGGGUCCAACC
rnacentral:lncRNA from 1 species